rnacentral:lncRNA from 10 species
CGCCACCACGCCUGGCUUAUUUUGAUUUUAUUUUAUUUUAUUUUUGUAUUUUAGUAGAGACGGGGUUUCACCAUGUUGGCCAGGCUUGUCUCGAUCUCCUGACCUCAUGAUCCGCCCGCCUCGGCCUCCCAAAGUGUUGGGAUUACAGGUGUGAGCCACCGCGCCCAGCUGUAUUUCUAUCUUUGUUUACGGUUUUGUUGUUCUGCUUCCUAAUUCUUUUAUAUACUUCUCUUCCAUAAUCUUCAUAAAGAAUCCUUUAGGGCUAUUUCAUUCCAUUUCUAUAGCCAGUCCUGUGCUUACAUAGUCACUGGGCUCCUGCCCACCCCCAUCCCAGCUUCCAUCCACAAAAGGUCAAAUAAAAGAAAGGCCUCCAAGGGGGCUGGUGCCUAUCAGAGGGUCUCAGGCAACUGAACAGUUUAGGGCUAGAUGUGGUUUAAGAUAUAGCUUGAUCCAUGGCUCAAAUGGUAUGACAGAAUGGAAUCUCUCUCCAUUUGAUGACUUUGCUUCUUAAAGAACUGUCCAAUUCCUGACAUUUGUCAUGCAAAAUGCAAAAUGGCCAUUAGCAUUUUUUUUUUUUUUUGCAGCAUUUACUUCUGGGCACAAAUCUAGCCUUUCUAGCAAUGUUCUGAGAUCCACUCUGAAUGGACUGACUUCAAUUCUAUGUCCACCUGAGCCAAUCAUAUGUCACUGGGGGAAGGGGGUCAUUGAUUGGCCAGGCUAGGGUUGUAAGCUCUGCCUCUAAACUUGUGGGGCAGUCAGUUCCAGCAACAGCUUACAGAGGAGGGGCAUGGUGGUCCUUCUGAAAGGAAUGGUCAUUGCUGAGCAGCACGAUAAAAAAGGAUAGCCACUGAGCAAGCCUGUAAGGCUAUUGGUCUGCCCAUUCUGGUUUCUUCACCAAUGAGAAAACUGGGACCUGGGGAGUUUGCAGAAGCCAUCCAAGGGCACCUGCUUCUCACAGCACAGCAGCUUCCUGCAGCCCUCCCUCCUGUCUUGUUUCUCCCUUAAUUGAGAGGAGAGGCCAGAACCAGAUGCAGGCAGUUCCAACAGUAAUGAAUUGCUCUAAGGUGUGGAUCCAAGAACCGGUGACAAGGUCAGGAAAUUCCAUCCCGGGACACUGACCCAACUAAGAGACUGUGCAUGAUGGCUAAGUUCAGAGCUCUGAGGAGAUGGUAAAACUCAUUUGCAACGAAACAAGAUAUUUUCCAACUCUGCAGCCAGGUGCAGAAAGCUGGAAGUGAUGCUCCAGGGAGUUUAUGUCUCCCCAUCUUGACCCACACCAAUACCUGAGGCUCGUUGCUUUGAUUCAAGUCCGGACAAGCUCUAAGGUUCAGCUCACACUGGGAGUCACGCUGCAGGAGCUCCUGGGAGUCUGUGAACGGUGGUGAUGCAGAAAAGCAAAGCGUGUAUAUCUGUUUUAGUCCUCCCUCAGAUCUGCUGAGGACACCUUGAGCCUGAAGUGAAAUCACAGUGGCUCUCAGGAAGAAGGGUGACUGUCUGGUGUGCAGUUGUGCUGCCACGGCAAAGGGAACUUUAAAACAUAGAACUGCCAUGUAGAAGCUCAGGAAAUAUCCAUGGUCUGUCAUCUCUUUUGGUCAUAGAAUCAAAAAAAAUGGAAGACGAGAAAAGGCAGUGAAGACUGACAGCCUGUUGGUUGCUAUUCCAGUCGUGUCUGCUCCAUACGCGCCCUCCAUCUCAUCCCACCCAGUCAGUAUAUUUUCACCAGGCAGUGUUGCAGAAAUGUCUGUGGACUCCAGUUCUAUUGCAGUCAGGCAGCAUUUACAGGUUUGACUUUCAACUGACCAUGGCAGGAAGUCUAGAGGCAAUUAUAGCCAACACCUGCUCUAUGUGCGUGCCGGGCAGGUGGUGGCUGAUUCCUUGCCUCCAAUCCAUGAUGUGUUUCCUAUCAGCUCAGAAUAAUAACAGUGACACCUCUGCUUCUUCUCUGUCUGGGGGAGCUCAAGGCACUUUACUCUGAAAACCCUCAAAUUACUGGCAUUUCUUUUAGUGAAGAUAUCAAAUUAAUGACUGAAAAAAAUGUAGAAGAUGGUUAUUGGUGAUGUUAAAAGACAAGUUUAACCCACUUCCACACAACAUGUCUUACAAGCGUAAAGUAUUUGAGUAGAGAAAACUAUGAAUCUAAAAUUGAACAAGAUGUGAAUUUAGACAGACAGCGUUUGUGGUCACAGAUGUGCCGAGAUGAAGACUGGAGGAAGGGCACAGUUUCUGUAGCAGUGACUUCCACCCAGGGUGUGUCUUGCUAUUGUGUGAAAUGAUUUUUGACACUGGACAAAUCUCUACUUCCACUUACAAUGUUUUGCCAGCUAGCUGAGGCAUUCUGGGAGGGUGAGGAGCCUGGGCUUGGGCUGACCUCAGGAAAUCCUGUGUAAAGGGCUUUUGCACACUCAGAAGCAGGCCAGGUUCACCGCUGUUAUGUGCAAUAUUCACUCCUGGCUCUUGCUUCUGAGCCUUGGCAAACCUGAGUCCUAAGAGGCCAAUGAAAAGGAAAACACGUUAAGGAGCCAGGGCGCUUCUUGGAUAUCAGCCUGAAUAGUUCUGUUUCAUCUGGACCCCAAUUUUACUCUCCUGCUGUUUUACACGGAACUAAAAAGAGCUUUACAGAGGACCAGAUAGACUGCAGGUCCCUAGGCAGUCAGGGGCCAGGCAAGGCAUAGGAGGGUGUCAGGCCUCUGAGCUCAAACUAGGCCAUCAUAUCCCCUGUGACCUGCACGUACACAUCCAGAUGGCUGGUUCCUGCCUUAACUGAUGGCAUUGUCUUGUGAAAUUCCUUCUCCUGGCUCAUCCUGGCUCAAGAGCUCCCCUACUGAGCACGUUGUGACCCCCACUCCUGCCUGCCAGAGAACAACCCCCCUUUGACUGUAAUUUUCCUUUACCUACCCAAAUCCUAUAAAAUGGCCCCACCCCUAUCUCCCUUCACUAACUCUCUUUUCGGACUCAGCCUGCCUGCACCCAGGUGAAAUAAACAGCCUUGUUGCUCACACAAAGCCUGUUUGGUGGUCUCUUCACAGGGACUCGCAUGAAAUUUGGUGCUGUGGCUCGGAUAGGGGGACCUCCCUCGGGAGAUCAAUCCCCUGUCCUCCUGCUCUUUGCUCCAUGAGAAAGAUCCACCUACGACCUCAGGUCCUCAGACCAAGCAGCCCAAGAAACAUCUCACCAAUUUCAAAUCUGGAAAGCAGCCUCUUUUUACUCUCUUCUCCAACCUCCCUCAAUAUCCCUCAACCUCUUUCUCUUUUCAAUCUUGGUGCCACACUUCAAUCUCUCCCUUCUCUUAAUUUCAAUUCGUUUCAUUUUCUGGUAGAGACAAAGGAGACACGUUUUAUCUGUGGACCCAAAACUCCGGCGCCGGUCACGGCCUGGGAAGGCAGCCUUCCCUUGGUGUUAAUCAUUGCAGGGAUGCCUCUCUGAUUAUUCACCCACGUUUCAGAGGUGUCGGACCACACAGGGACGCCUGCCUUGGUCCUUCACCCUUAGUGGCAAGUCCUGCUUUUCUGGGGGAGGGGCAAGAACCCCAACCCCUUCUCUCCAUGUCUCUACCUCUUCUCUGCUUUUCUGGGGGAGGGGCAAGAACCCCUCAACCCCUUCUCCUUCACCCUUAAUGGCAAGUCCCACUUUUCUGGGGGAGGGGCAAGAACCCCUCAACAUCUUGUCCUUCACUGUUAGCAGCAAGUCUCACUUUUCUGGGGGAGGGGCAAGAACCCCUCAAACCCUUGUCCUUCACCGUCAGCAGCAAGUCCCGCUUUUCUGGGAGAGGGGCAAGAACCUCUCAACCCCUUCUCCUUCACCCUUAGAGGCAAGUCCCGCUUUUCUGGGGGAGAGGCAAGAACCCCUUAUUUCCACAGCCCGACCUCUUAUCUCUGUGCCCUGAUCCCUUAUUUCUGUGCCCUGACCUCUUAUCUCUGCACCCCAACCCCUUAUUUCUGCACCCCCACCUCUUUCCCACUUUUCUGGAGGGUAAGAACCCCCGAACCCCUUCCCUCCAUGUCUCUACUCUCUCUUUUCUCUAGCCUUGCUUCCUUCACUAUGGGCAACCUUCCACCCUCCAUUCCUCCUUCUUCUCCCUUAGCCUGUGUUCUCAAGAACUUAAAACCUCUUCAACUCACACCUGACCUAAAACCUAAAUGCCUUAUUUUCUUCUGCAAUGCCGCUUGAUCCCAAUACAAACUUGGCAGUAGUUCCGAAUAGCCGGAAAACAGCACUUUCAAUUUUUCCAUCCUACAAGAUCUAAAUAAUUCUUGUCGUAAAAUAGGCAAACAGUCUGAGGUGCUGACGUCCAGGCAUUCUUUUACACAUUGGUCCCUCCCUAGUCUCUGUUCCCAAUGCAACUCGUCCCAAAUCUUCCUUCUUUCCCUCCCACCUGUCCCCUCAGUCCCAACCCCAAGUGUCGCUGAGUCUUUCUAAUCUUCCUUUUCUACAGACCCAUCUGACCUCUCCCCUCCUCUCCAGGCUGAGCUAGGUCCCAAUUCCUCCUCAGCUUCCGCUCCUCCACCCUGUAAUCCUUUUAUCACCUCGCCUCCUCACACCCAGUCCGGCUUACAGUUUCGUUCCUUGACUAGCCCUCCCCCACCUGCCCAGCAAUUUACUCUUAAAAAGGUGGAUGGAGCUAAAAGCAUAGUCAAGGUUAAUGCUCCUUUUUCUUUAUCCCAAAUCAGACAGCGUUUAGGCUCUUUUUCAUCAAAUAUAAAAAUCCAGCCCAGUUCAUGGCUCGUUUGGCAGCAACCCUGAAAUGCUUUACAGCCCUAGACCCUAAAAGGUCAAAAGGCCAUCUUAUUCUCAAUAUACAUUUUAUUACCCAAUCUGCUCCCGACAUUAAAUAAAACUUCAAAGAUUAAAUUCCAGCCCUCAAACCCCACAACAGGAUUUAAUUAACCUUGCCUUCAAGGUGUACAAUAAUAGAGUAGAGGCAGCCAAGUAGUAACAUAUUUCUGAGUUGCAAUUCCUUGUCUCCACCAUGAGACAAACCCCAGCCACAUCUCCAGCACACAAGAAUUUCCAAAUGCCUAAACCGCAGUGGCCAGGCAUUCCUCCAGCACCACCUCCCCCAGAAGCUUGCUACAAGUGCCAGAAAUCUGGCCACCAGGCCAAGGAAUGCCCGCAGCCCGGGAUUCCUCCUAAGCCAUGUCCCAUCUGUGGGGGACCCCACUGGAAAUCGGACUGUUCAACUCACCUGGCAGCCACUCCCAGAGCCCCUGGAACUCUGGCCCAAGGCUGUCUGACUGACUUCUUCCCAGAUCUUCUCGGCUUAGUGGCUGAAGACUGACAUGCCCGAUCGCCUCAGAAGCCCGAUAGACCAUCAUGGAUGCCGAGCUUUAGGAUUCUAAAGACCAUUUCCACAUGGAGAAGCUGCCAGAACAAGCACUGCUACCCUUGGAGGCCAUUGACAUUGUGAGGUCGCUGGGACUGAAAGGAGGUUGACCAGAAGUUCUGUUUGGCAAUGCAAAGCCAGGAGGAAAAGUUAAUGGAGUUUGUCCCCCGGGUCCCAAGAAAGCUGACCCAGGACGAUGAAGCUAGAAUUUGUGUUCUAGGAGGUGCUGCUUCUUCCAGGAAAGUCUACUCAAAGCACACACUGUGAGCUGCUGCAUGUCUCUUGAGCUAGUUCACUGCAGUUUUCAUGAUGAAAGUGAUCUGUUUCAGUAAACUUUCUGUUAUUUGAGAGCAUGGGAAAAAUAUUUGCUGUGAUUUCCCAAUUCCCCAUUUUUUCUGAUUCUUUGUUGCAGUUUCCACAACUUUGUUAUCAGGCUGUGACAGAGGUUUGUGAACUGAUGAAAGCUCCAGAGCCUCCCAGGCCCUCUGAGUCUGAUGCCUGCACUCCACAAUCAGGCCUCAAGCUCAGGGCGCCUGCCACCAACCCACGCUGGGCUUCAGGGGCAGGCAGCACUUGAAUGGGGUUUGGUUAUUGUCUUUCUUUAUUUUCUCUUAUUUUAAGCCUUAAAAAAAAAAAGAUAAGGUCUUGCUCUAUUGCCCAGGCUGGAGAGAAAUGGUGUGAUCAUAGCUCACUGCAGCUUUGAAUUCCUGGGUUCAACCGAUCCUCCCACCUAAGCCUCCCGAGUAACCAGGACUGCAAGUAUGCACCACCACACCCAGUUAAUUAAAUUUGUGUGUGUGUGUGUGUGUAGAGGUGGGUUCUUGCUUUGUUGCCCAGGCUGGUCUUGAACUCUUGAGUUCAGACAAUCCUGCCACCUCAACCUCACAAAGUGCUGGAAUUACAGGCGUGAGCCACUGCACUCAGCCUCCUUAAGCCAUUUGCUUAAGUGGCUUUAUUGCAAAACAAUAUCAGAAUAACAAAGAAAUAUAAGGUCAAACUUUCCCUGUUCCCAUCUAGUCCAAUAAGCAUUGCUGCUCUUGCCAGGGAUUCUCGCCCAUCUCCAUGUGCCAGUGCAAUCCAUACUGGUUGUUCUCCUUGGCUACCCCACAUCUGAGUCUCUGCCUUGUCUGCAUUCUUCCCCACUUUAUGAAGAGAUGAGUCAGUGCCUGAUUUUUUCUGCCUCUCUUGUCACUAGGGCACAGCCAUGUGCAUGGGCCCUGUCACUCAGAAGCCCCCAUCCACCAACAACAUGGCUCUGGGGGCCUCCUCUCUCUGGAAGAAUUGGCAGUUUUAGCAAGAAAGGUUUUCAGAGGCAGCAAUGAUGGUGGAGAUGUCCAGGGCCAGUGGCAGGUCAAACCAUUCUCUGUGUCAUUUGGGGCAGUGUUUAUGCUGUCCCUCAUUUUGGUUCCCUAAGCCUCCGAACAUGUACGUGAAUUUCCGAAUAUUCUCAAUUAAAUUGUUUUUCUGUUGAAAUUGGCCUGGUUGCUUUCAACUAUGACAAACCUAGCUAUAUAAGUAUUAUUUUGUAGUGUUGGGAUUGAUAGAACUUUAUGUUCUACACAUUAGCAGAAUACCAUGUGUAUUUUUCCAUUUGACAUAAUCUUUUAUCUUUCCAUUGAUAAGUAUUAUUACUAUUUAGUGAUAUAUUAUUUGAGUUCUCUUGCCCCUUUUGGGUAGCCCAUGUUAACAGUAAUACCCAGCUGCUACACUGAGAGCCUCUGAGACUUACUGGCUUCAGGGGAGACAGCACAUUAUCAGCUGUGGUGGCCAUGGCCGAGACUCCUUUUGCCUGAGAAAAGCAGAGGAAAAUGUAGAAGGGACUUCGUCUUGCAUCUGAGACACCAGCACAGCCACAGGGUGGUAGAGCACCAAGGGGGCUUUUGGAAUCUUUGAUUCUGGGAUGUGGCUCUUGGAAGGCAUUUCUGGACUUGCCCUGGGCCAGGGGGAGCCCACUGUCUUAAAGGGUGAGUCCCAGGCCAGGCAGCAUUUGCCACAGUCGACUGAAGAGCCCUGGGGGCCUUCAAGGGACAUAGAAGGUAAUCUGAAAGUACUCCGCAUAGGCCUGUGGGGUGGUGGCCAUGGGGCAAGGCUGCCCUGCCUCUGGAAAGGGUAGGAGAGAGUGAGAAAGACUGCAUCCUGUUGUCCGAGUGCCAGCUCAGCCACAGUACAAUAGAACACCAGCUAGGCUCCCAGCCAGCACCUCUGGACCAGCCUGGAAACUGGGGGUAACUCAUCGCCCUGAAGGGAAGGACAAAGGCCUGGCUGGCUUUGCCGUCUGCUGAUUGUUGAGCCCUAGGCGGGGAGCGGUUACAGUCGGCCUUGGGUGAGACUCAGAGCUGCACUGGCUUCAGGUCUGACUCAGCACAGUCACAGUGAUGGUGGCCACAGGGGUGCUUAUGUCACUCUAUCCCAGCUUUAGGUGGCUCAGAACAGACACACUCCAUUUCUUUGGGAGAAAGUAAGAAAGAGAACAAGAGUCUCUCUGAUAAUCCAGAGAGUUCUCCCAGAUCUUGUCCAAGAUCAUCAAGGCAAUACCACUGAGUCUGCAAAAACUGCAGUGUUACUGGGCUUGGGGUGCCCCCUAAAACAGAUACAACUUAGAUCACAACACCCAUGGCCUUUUAAAUAUGUGAAAAGCCUUCCCAAGAAGGACGGGUACAAACAAGCCCAGAUAGCAAAGGCUACAAUAAAUACCUAACUCUUCAAUUCCAGACACAAAUGGACACCUACAAGUAUCAAGACAUUCCAGGAAAAAAAUGACCUCACCAAAUGAACUAAAUAAAGCAUCAGGGACCCAUCCUGAAGAAACAGAUACGUGACCUUUUAGACAGAGAAUACAAAAUAGCCACUCUGAGGAAACUCAAAGAAAUUCAAGAUAACACAGAGAAGGAAUUCAGAAUUCUAUCAGAUAAAUUUAACAAAGAGAUUGAAAUCAUUCAAAAUGAUCAAACAGAUACUGUGGAGAUAAAAAAUGGAAUUGGCAUACUAAAGAAUGCAUCAGAGUCUUAAUAAUAGAAUUAAUCAAGUAGAAGAAAGAAUUAGCUUGAAGACAGGCUAUUUCAAAAUACACAGUUAGAGGACUCAAAAGAAAAUAGAAUAAAAAAUAAUGAAGCAUGUCAAAGAAUCUAGAAAAUAGCCUCAAAAGGACAAAUCUAAGAGUUAUUGGCCUUAAAGGGGAGACAAAGAAAGAGAUAAGGGUAGAAUGUUUAUUCAAAGGGAUAAUAACAGAGACUUUUCGAAACCCGGAUAAUAAUAUCAAUAUCCAAGUACAAGAAAACAGAACACCAAGCAGAUUAAAUCCAAAGAAGACUGCCUCAAGGCAUUUAAUAAUCAAAUUCUAAAGAUCAAGGGUAAAGAAAGGAUCCUAAAAGUAACAAGGGAGAAGAAACAGAUAACAUACAAUGGAUCUCCAGUAUGUCUUGCAGUGGACUUUUCAGUGGAAACCUUAAAGUCCAGGAGAGAGUGGCACAACACAUUUAAAGUGCUGAAAGAAAGAAACUUUUACCCUAGAAUAGUAUAUCCAGCAAAAAUAUUCUUCUAACAUGAAGAAAAAAUAAAGACUUUCCCAGGCAAACAAAAGCUGAGGGAUUUUAUCAGCACUAGACCUGUCUUAUGAGAAAUGCCAAAGGGAGUACUUCAAUCAGAAAGAAAAGGAUGUUAGUAAGUAAUCAUGCGAAAGUACAAAAUUCAUGGGUAAUAGUAAGCACACAGAAAAACACAGAAUUUUAUAUCCCUGUAACUGUGAUGUGUAAACUACUAUUAUUCUAAGUAGAAAAACUAAAUGAUGAACCAAUCAAAAAUAAUAACUAUAACAAUUUUUCAAGCCAUAGACAGUACUAUAAGAUAUAAAUAGAAACAACAAAAAGUUUAAAAUCAGGACAAAGUUAAGACGUAGAGUUUUUAUUAGUUUCCUUUUUUUUUGCUUCUUUGUUUCUUUGUUUAUGCAAACAAUGUUAAGUUGUUAUCAGCUUAAAGUAACAGGUCAUAAAGAAGCCAGUCAUGGUGUCUCACACUUGUAAUGCCAGCACUUUGAGAGUCCAAGGUGGGUGGAUCACUUGAGGUCAGAAGUUUGAGACCAGCCUGGCCAAUAUGGCGAAACCCCAUCGCUACUAAAAAUACAAAAAUUAGCCAGGUAUGGUGGCACAUGCCUGUAAUCCCAGCUACUCAGGAGGCUGAGGCAUGAGAACCCAGAAUGUGGAGGUUGAAGUAAGCCAAGAUCACACCACUGUACUCCAGCUUGGAUGACAGAGCAAGACUCUGUUUCAGAAGGAAAAAAAAAAGUCAUAAGAUAGUAUUUGCAAGCCUCAUAGUGACCUCAAACCAUAAAAACAUACAAUGAAUACACAAAAAGUAAAAAGCUAGAAACUAAAUCAUAUUACUAGAGAAAAAUCACUUUCACUAAAGGAAGGAAAGAAAGAAGGCAGAGAACAUCACAGAACAACUAGAAAACAAGUUAACACAAUGGCGGGAGUAAGUUCUUACUUAUCAAUAUUAACAUUGAUUGUAAAUAAGAACACCAAUAAAAUGAAAGAUUACAUCAAGUUAAAAAGUUAAAAAGCUUCUGCACAGCAAAGGAAACAGUCAAUAAAGUGGUAACCCCGCAGAGUGGGCAAAAAAUAUUUGCAAACUACCCAUGUGACAAGGGAUUAAUAACCAGAAUAUAUAAGGAGCUCAAACAACUCUAGAGAAAAACAAAUCUAAUAAUCUGAUCAAAAAAUAGGCAAGAUAUUUGAAUAGACAUUUCUCAAAAAAGACAUACAAAUGGCAAACAGUCAUAUGAAAAGGUGCUCAACAUCAUUGAUCAUCAGAACAAUGCAAAUAAAAACUACAAUGAAAUGUCAUCUCAUCCCUGUUAAAAUCGAUUGUAUCCAAAAGACAGGCAAAAACAAAUGCUGGUGAAAUGUGGAGAAAAGGGAACCCUCAUACACUGUUGGUGGGAAUGUAAGUUAGCCCAACCACUAUGAAUAGUGGUUUGAAGGUUCCUCAAAAAGCUAAAUAUGGAGCUACCAUAUGGUUCAGCCAUCCCACUGCUGGGUAUAGACCCAAAAGAAAGGAAAUCAGUAUAUUGAAGAGAUGUCUGCACUCCCGUGUUUGUUUCAGCACUGUUCACAGUAGCAAAGAUUUUGAAACAACCCAAGUGUCCCUCAAUAGAUGAAUAGAUAAACGAAAUGUGGUGCUUUUACACAAUGGAGUACUGUUCAGCCAUAAAAAUGAAUGAGAUCCUGUUCUUUACAACAACAUGGGUGGAAAUGAAGAUCAUUAUAUUAAGUGAUAUAAGCCAGACACAGAAAGACAAACAUUACAUCUUCUCAUGUACUUAUGGGAUCUGAAGAUCAAAAUAAUUGAACUCCAUGGACAUAGAGAGUAGAAGAAUGGUUACCAUAGGCUGGGAUUAGUAGUGGGACAGGUGGGGCAGGGGGCAGGUUAGGACAGGUAAUAGGUACAAAAAUAAUAGGAAGAAUGAAUAAGACCUACUAUUUGUUAGCAUAAAAUGGUACUUGUAAUCAAUUACACUUAAUUAUAUGUUUUAAAAUAACUCAAAGAGUAUAAUUGGAUUCUUUGUAACACAAAGAAUAAAUGUUUGAGGAGAUGGAUACCCUAUUCAGCAUGAUGUGUUAUUAUGCAUUGCAGGCCUGUAUCAAAGCAUUUCAAGUACGCUAUAGAUAUAUACACCUACUAUGUACUCACAAAAAUUAACAAAUUAAAAAAUUAAAGAAAACAGAGUGAGAAUGGGAUGGUGAGCAGGUGGUAUAAGGUAUAUGAUAUUGGUGUUCAGACUGUUAUCCAAAACCCUAAGAAUAGGCCAGGUGCGGUGGCUCACACCUGUAAUCCCAGCACUUUGCGAGGCUGAGGCGGGUAGAUCAUGUGGUGAGGAGUUCAAGACCAGCCUGGCCAAGAUGGUAAAACCCUGUCUCUAGUAAAAAUACAAAAAUUAGCCAGGCAUGGUGGUGGGCGCCUGUAAUCCCAGCUACUUAGGAGGCUGAGGCAGAGAAUUGCUUGAACCCAGGAGGCAGAGGUUGCAGUGAGCUGAGAUCAUGCCACUGCACUCCAGCCUGGGCAACAGAGCGAGACUCUGUCUCAAAAAAAAAAGGCAAAAAAAACAAAA